GAUGAACGCUGGCGGCGUGCCUAAUACAUGCAAGUCGAGCGAACAGAUGAGGAGCUUGCUCCUCUGACGUUAGCGGCGGACGGGUGAGUAACGCGUGGAUAACCUACCUAUAAGACUGGGAUAACUUCGGGAAACCGGAGCUAAUACCGGAUAAUAUAUUGAACCGUAUGGUUCAAUAGUGAAAGACGGUUUUGCUGUCACUUAUAGAUGGAUCCGCGCCGCAUUAGCUAGUUGGUAAGGUAACGGCUUACCAAGGCAACGAUGCGUAGCCGACCUGAGAGGGUGAUCGGCCACACUGGAACUGAGACACGGUCCAGACUCCUACGGGAGGCAGCAGUAGGGAAUCUUCCGCAAUGGGCGAAAGCCUGACGGAGCAACGCCGCGUGAGUGAUGAAGGUCUUCGGAUCGUAAAACUCUGUUAUUAGGGAAGAACAAAUGUGUAAGUAACUAUGCACGUCUUGACGGUACCUAAUCAGAAAGCCACGGCUAACUACGUG
rnacentral:rRNA from 1 species